UGGGGAAUAUUGCACAAUGGGGGAAACCCUGAUGCAGCAACGCCGCGUGAGUGAUGACGGUCUUCGGAUUGUAAAACUCUGUCUUCAGGGACGAUAAUGACGGUACCUGAGGAGGAAGCCACGGCUAACUACGUGCCAGCAGCCGCGGUAAUACGUAGGUGGCAAGCGUUGUCCGGAUUUACUGGGCGUAAAGGGAGCGUAGGUGGAUAUUUAAGUGGGAUGUGAAAUACUCGGGCUUAACCUGGGUGCUGCAUUCCAAACUGAAUAUCUAGAGUGCAGGAGAGGAAAGUAGAAUUCCUAGUGUAGCGGUGAAAUGCGUAGAGAUUAGGAAGAAUACCAGUGGCGAAGGCGACUUUCUGGACUGUAACUGACACUGAGGCUCGAAAGCGUGGGGAGCAAACA
rnacentral:rRNA from 1 species